CAGUCGCCACGGGAAAACGAAGGGGGCUAGCGUUGUUCGGAAUUACUGGGCGUAAAGGGCGCGUAGGCGGCCAUUCAAGUUAGAUGUGAAAGCCCUGGGCUCAACCUAGGAAUUGCAUUUGAUACUGUUUGGCUUGAGUUCGGGAGAGGUGAGUGGAAUUCCCAGUGUAGAGGUGAAAUUCGCAGAUAUUGGGAAGAACACCAGUGGCGAAGGCGGCUCACUGGACCGACACUGACGCUGAGGCGCGAAAGCGUGGGGAGCAAACAGGAUUAGAUACCCCCGUAGUCCCUGUCUCUUAUAC
rnacentral:rRNA from 1 species